UACGUAGGGGGCAAGCGUUGUCCGGAUUUAUUGGGCGUAAAGAGCGUGUAGGCGGCCAGGUAGGUCCGCUGUGAAAACUCGAGGCUUAACCUCGAGCUGUCGGCGGAAACCAUCUGGCUAGAGUCCGGAAGAGGAGAAUGGAAUUCCCGGUGUAGCGGUGAAAUGCGCAGAUAUCGGGAAGAACACCCGUGGCGAAGGCGGUUCUCUGGGACGGUACUGACGCUGAGACGCGAAAGCGUGGGGAGCGAACAGA
rnacentral:rRNA from 1 species